rnacentral:tRNA from 1 species
GUCCGUUUAGCUCAGCGGUAGAGCGCGCCACUCGCAAUGGUGAGGUCGGUGGUUCAAUCCACCCAAUGCCA